rnacentral:lncRNA from 10 species
GGCUAGCGGGCUACUGGGCUGCGGAGACCAGAGCCCGGCUCCACUGAAGAAACCCGCCGGCUGCUGGGGCAGGGCGGCGAAAGGUCAGUCGGCCGAGAGGAGUCCGUGGAGCCACCGUUUCAUAGCCUCAGGGAAAGGAUCGGGCGUGCUCACGAGCCCUCUAACCCAUGGCUUAAACACCCGCUUCCUAAGCCUGGUUCCUGAAUAUAUCACAUGUGGUGAUAAACAUGAAGAUGUAUGAAAAAUUGUGUUCGUUGAGAGAAAAUGGAAGGCUUUUCAUUCUACUUCCACAUUUUCAUUCCAGCAGCUUUUCUGUUUUGGAAGAUGAGUACUGAAUCUUGCAAUGAAAUUUUUUUAACUUAAACAAGACAAGGAAAAUGAAGCGCAGAGACGUUAAAUAACUCUCUCAAGGUCAUGCAGCUGAGAAGAGAUGAGACUUGAACUCCAGUGCCAGCCCUGUUAAUCACUAUUCUAUGGAAUGAUAGGGUAUGCAUAAAUGUUCAUGUGGGCUCUGGAGUAUACCAGGAACUGAAGUAAGGUACAUGGACGUCUUGAAUAUUGUAACUGAGAUGGGCAAGCCUACACCUUUGCAAAUAAAGGAGGAUUGGGAAAGAUUAAGGUACUUCCUAAGCGUGGCUACUCCAAUGAAGCUUUAGUAUAUGUACUGAAAGAAGAUCCUCUCAUACUGCCACAGCCAAGAGAUAAGGUUGUAAAUCUUUAUUGGGAGAAGCCGUCAAGGACAGUUCUGUGAAAUGAAAGGAUCUCUGGAUCACCACAAAGUCUGGCUCAGUGACUAUGGCUUUGCAAACACUAAACAUUCCUGUCUCAAGUCCUGUAGAUGGCUUGAAAUAGUAUACAUAAGCAUGCCUUAUAAACAUCUUCAGUCUUUAUCAACUCUUUGGAGAUUCAGCCAUUCUUUUUUGUACUUUAGGGAAUUAAAUCAUUUUAUAAUGUAUAAAUCUGAGCAUGGCCGAUGGCAGAAGAAAUUUUGUCAUACGUUUUUAAAGAAAUAAAAAUGUAUUAUGUUUUAAAAUUCCUUUAACUGUUUUUCUUACAAAAU